GAUGAAGAACGCAGCGAAAUGCGAUAAGUAAUGUGAAUUGCAGAAUUCAGUGAAUCAUCGAAUCUUUGAACGCACAUUGCGCCCGCUAGUAUUCUGGCGGGCAUGCCUGUCCGAGCGUCAUUUCAACCCUCAAGCCCCCGGGCUUGGUGUUGGGGAUCGGCGAGCCUCCGCGCCCGCCGUCCCCUAAAUCUAGUGGCGGUCUCGCUGUAGCUUCCUCUGCGUAGUAGCACACCUCGCACUGGGAAACAGCGCGGCCACGCCGUUAAACCCCCAACUUCUGAACGUUUGACCUCGGAUCAGGUAGGAAUACCCGCUGAACUGAAGCAUAUCAAUAAGCGGAGGA
rnacentral:misc_RNA from 1 species